rnacentral:rRNA from 1 species
UGGGGAAUAUUGGACAAUGGGCGAAAGCCUGAUCCAGCCAUGCCGCGUGUGUGAAGAAGGUCUUCGGAUUGUAAAGCACUUUAAGUUGGGAGGAAGAGCAUUAACCUAAUACGUUAGUGUUUUGACGUUACCGACAGAAUAAGCACCGGCUAACUCUGUGCCAGCAGCCGCGGUAAUACAGAGGGUGCAAGCGUUAAUCGGAAUUACUGGGCGUAAAGCGCGCGUAGGUGGUUUGUUAAGUUGGAUGUGAAAUCCCCGGGCUCAACCUGGGAACUGCAUCCAAAACUGGCAAGCUAGAGUACGGUAGAGGGUGGUGGAAUUUCCUGUGUAGCGGUGAAAUGCGUAGAUAUAGGAAGGAACACCAGUGGCGAAGGCGACCACCUGGACUGAUACUGACACUGAGGUGCGAAAGCGUGGGGAGCAAACA